UAGGAGUCAUCCACACGAGCCCACAAAUCUCGAUCAGAAGUCCUGCUUCAGGAAAUCAGCACAGUAUGCUAGUACUGCGCAGAUCCUUCUUUGAUGGUUGAUCAGGUGCCUCCUUCUUCUUGAUUUGGAUACUUUCAAAGAUGGAAAGUAGAAGGAGGAGUUUCAGAUCUGAGACACUCUCAUAAAACUCAGGAUGGAGGGAGGAAAGAUAUGAAAACAAACAACCCUAGAAGA
rnacentral:lncRNA from 1 species